rnacentral:lncRNA from 1 species
GUAGAGUUUAGCUGUUUACUUUGAAGUUUGACUGUUUGCUAUUCCCUUCAAGGAUGGAUGCCAUAAGAAGAAUACAGAGGAGAUAAUCAGUUGCCCAAGGCCACUCAGAGAGAAAGAUUGCUUCUUUGUGCUUGUCCCCAGUUUCCAGAAGAAUUUGCUUGCCCUUCCUUCCUAUCUUCUGUUUUACCUGUCCUUGUAACUUUUGAAGAAAUCACACUACAGAAACCAAGUCCUGGCAAAUCUUCUGUUAACCAACUUGGCCUGGAGAAAAAUUACUUUAAUCUCAGAGACUGCAUUAAACUUAGGUAGAAGCCAAAUCAAUAAAGGUGAAGGUCAUGGAAACUGAUGAUU